AGAGUGAACGCUGGCGGUAGGCCUAACACAUGCAAGUCGAACGGCAGCACGGUAAGAGCUUGCUCUUAUGGGUGGCGAGUGGCGGGACGGGUGAGGAAUACAUCGGAAUCUACCUUUUGGUGGGGGAUAACGUAGGGAAACUUACGCUAAUACCGCAUACGCCCUUCGGGGGAAAGCCGGGGACCAGCAAUGGCCUGGCGCUGAUAGAUGAGCCGAUGUCGGAUUAGCUUAGUUGGUGAGGUAAUGGCUCACCAAGGCGACGAUCCGUAGCUGGUCUGAGAGGAUGAUCAGCCACACUGGAACUGAGACACGGUCCAGACCUCCGUAACGGG
rnacentral:rRNA from 1 species